GCACAUGAUAUAAAUUGCGAUCAUCGAAUCAGAAUAAUAGGAAAUUGAAGAACAAUUGAUAUAAUAAUCUUUUCAACGCUGGUUUAAGAGAUAAAGAUGAGCCACUAGCUAGAUAUGCGCACAUGAUAUCGAUCAUACACUGAUUCAUUGAUUGAGUCGCUAGAGAACUCUUUUAUUGAGACUGCAUCGCAAACGGGUGGAUACAGGAAACUGCAAUAUUAGUGCCCCAAACAACAACUUGCAUCACUGGAGAUUCAGGAAUAAAUGCAACAACAUAGUUUCACAUCUCCUGGCUGAGUCUUGCAGUAGGCCCCAAGCCAAGGGUGGCCGCUGUAUCUGCAAAAGAUCUUGCAGACGUUCCAAUGGCAGACUUGAGUAGGCAUGCACUCCUCAUGACGAUCAACUAAACAUUGACGAAAAGCAAUAAUAUUUAUUACAAAUGUCCGCUAAGGUCUAUUUAAGCACAAAUAUUGAAUUUUGUAAGAUAAAAUGAUUAAAGGAUGUUCGGAGAUACCUACGUUCAUAGCAAGAGGUUGGUAAGAUCAAAGUGCAAGAGAUGAUCAUAACAACAACGCAGAUUGAAGAACCCACGGCAUGUGUGCGAUGCUCUUGAUGACUGCCAUGGUCUGGACUGAGGAGAAAACUAAGCUUAUGAUUGCCGUGCUCCGGUUGAGAUAUAUAUUGGCAAAAACAAAUGAUAUGUAAUUAUCAAU
rnacentral:lncRNA from 1 species